UACUUAGGAAGCUCUUCAGAGCAUUACGUUGAAGCUGUAAAGGUGGGCUUACCCCUGAGUAGC
rnacentral:tRNA from 1 species